AGUGGUUGGCCACAUACGAGACCAUCCAGUCUGCAGCCCGUUGGUCUCUCUGUAGACAUGCUUAGCCUGGAAGGCCACCCCACCAUAGACUAUGGCUCGGCUAUCUUGGAUCAAAGGGUGACACUUGCCCCCAUUGCCAACAAUCCACCGAACCCAUCCAAUGACCGUAGCCGAAUCCCCCUUAAGCAGUGCCACACUAGCCUGCAUACACAACGAGCAUAACCUAG
rnacentral:lncRNA from 1 species